GACGAACGCUGGCGGCGUGCUUAACACAUGCAAGUCGAGCGGUAAGGCCCUUUCGGGGGUACACGAGCGGCGAACGGGUGAGUAACACGUGGGUGACCUGCCCUUAGCUCUGGGAUAAGCCUGGGAAACUGGGUCUAAUACCGGAUAUGACCUCAUGACUCAUGUUGUGGGGUGGAAAGCCUUGUGCGGCUAGGGAUGGGCCCGCGGCCUAUCAGCUUGUUGGUGGGGUAAUUGCCUACCAAGGCGACGACGGGUAGCCGGCCUGAGAGGGCGACCGGCCACACUGGGACUGAGACACGGCCCAGACUCCUACGGGAGGCAGCAGUGGGGAAUCUUGCGCAAUGGGCGAAAGCCUGACGCAGCGACGCCGCGUGAGGG
rnacentral:rRNA from 1 species